rnacentral:rRNA from 1 species
GACGAAGGAUGCAAGCGUUAUCCGGAUUCAUUGGGUUUAAAGGGCGCGUAGGUGGCCUUAUAAGUCAGUGGUGAAAUCUCUGGGCUUAACCCAGAAAUUGCCAUUGAUACUGUAGGGCUUGAGUAUAGAUGCCGUUGGCGGAAUAUGACAUGUAGUGGUGAAAUACAUAGAUAUGUCAUAGAACACCGAUUGCGAAGGCAGCUAACGAAACUAUAACUGACACUGAGGCUCGAAAGUGUGUGGAUCAAACAGG